rnacentral:tRNA from 1 species
GCAAGAGUGGCGGAACUGGUAGACGCGCUGGAUUUAGGAUCCAGUUCCCGAAAGGGAGUGGGGGUUCGAUUCCCUCCUCUUGUACCA